GAUGAACGCUGGCGGCGUGCCUAAUACAUGCAAGUCGAACGGCAGCAUGGAGAGCUUGCUCUCUGAUGGCGAGUGGCGAACGGGUGAGUAAUGCAUCGGAACGUACCGUGUAAUGGGGGAUAACGUAGCGAAAGUUACGCUAAUACCGCAUACGACCUGAGGGUGAAAGCAGGGGAUCGCAAGACCUUGCGUUAUACGAGCGGCCGAUGUCAGAUUAGCUAGUUGGUGAGGUAAAGGCUCACCAAGGCGACGAUCUGUAGCGGGUCUGAGAGGAUGAUCCGCCACACUGGGACUGAGACACGGCCCAGACUCCUACGGGAGGCAGCAGUGGGGAAUUUUGCGCAAUGGGGGAAACCCUGACGCAGCAACGCCGCGUGAGUGAUGAAGGCCUUCGGGUCGUAAAGCUCUGUCAGAGGGGAAGAAGUGCAGGGGCGCUAAUAUCGCUUUUGCUUGACGGUACCCUCAAAGGAAGCACCGGCUAACUCCGUGCCAGCCGCCGCAGUAA
rnacentral:rRNA from 1 species